rnacentral:misc_RNA from 1 species
GAUGAAGAACGCAUCGAAAUGCGAUAAGUAAUGUGAAUUGCAGAAUUCAGUGAAUCAUCGAGUCUUUGAACGCACAUUGCGCCCCCUGGUAUUCCGGGGGGCAUGCCUGUCCGAGCGUCAUUGCUGCCCUCAAGCACGGCUUGUGUGUUGGGCCCCGCCCCCCGGCUCCCGGGGGGCGGGCCCGAAAGGCAGCGGCGGCACCGCGUCCGGUCCUCGAGCGUAUGGGGCUUCGUCACCCGCUCCGUAGGCCCGGCCGGCGCCCGCCGGCGACCCCCCUCAAUCUUUUCAGGUUGACCUCGGAUCAGGUAGGGAUACCCGCUGAACUUAAGCAUAUCAAUAAGCGGAGGA